AAGUCGUAACAAGGUUUCCGUAGGUGAACCUGCGGAAGGAUCAUUCACAAUAAGAGUGUUCUAUGGCACUCUUCUCAAAAAAAUCCAUACCCACCUUGUGUGCAAUGUAAAAGGAAAAAGUGUGAGUUAACUUGGGGAAGGGAAUCUUCCCAGACCCCGGCGACACUUGCAUCUUUUUCUUUUCCAACUUUAUAUACACCUUUCUAUAUCCUAUUGUCUGAUGAUGUUACAGAAUGACUAAUUCUUAAACAUAACUUUCAACAACGGAUCUCUUGGCUCUC
rnacentral:misc_RNA from 1 species